rnacentral:lncRNA from 1 species
GUAAACUUUUAAAGUAGUGCCUUCCCUCAUGGUCUUGGUAUGCCUUUGAUGAGCAAGGAAAGCCUUUCUCUGGAAACCCCCAGCAGACUGCCCUCAGGCUCCUCUGCUAUCACUGCUACGCAUGCCAACAACUAAUGCCAAGCGGGACAUAGUGCUAUGGGCAUCGGCAGAGCAGCUCACUUUUGGUCAGCGUGUUCAGUUUGUUUCUUCCAGAAUCGAAGCUAUAAAACUACAAAUGAUUCUUCAAAUGGAGCCUCCAAUGCAGUCCAUGGCUGAGAUCUACUGCGGACCCCUGGACCAGCCUGCUAGUCCAUGCUCUGAUGUUGGUGACAUCGAAGGCACCCCUCCCGAGGAAAUCUCAAUUGCAUGACCCCUACUACGCCUUAAUUCAGCAGGAAGCAACGUCUGAUUUAGCAGCUAUCCUACAUCAGACAGGCUGACUCUGGGCAUACGAAGAUGAUUAAGACAAAAAUCCCUGUCCUCACAGUCCAGAAUGAAGGACAGACACAUAAAGAUAAGUAUAACACAAGAUGGAUCAUGAAUUGUAGCUAAUAUUUAUUGGGUACUUACUAAGUGCCAGUGACUGCUGUAAGCUCUUGGUGUGUUUUACCCCUUCAGUUCUCCCCAACCUCUGUUAGGUACAUGUCUCAUAGAUUGAUUCAUAGAUAGGACUGAAGCCUGGUGAUUGUCUGCGGUUUUAUAAGUAACAAGUGGCAGAGCCAGGAUGAACACCCAGUGGAUGGGUAUUAGUCCCACUUGGCCAUCAAGAGGUCCCACUUGGCCAUCAAGCUCUACUGUUUCUUGAUGAUAAAGUAGCACACGGGACCGUAAGUGGGUGGGGGGGGGGG